GAUGAAGAACGCAGCGAAAUGCGAUAAGUAGUGUGAAUUGCAGAAUUCAGUGAAUCAUCGAAUCUUUGAACGCACAUUGCGCCCCUUGGUAUUCCAUGGGGCAUGCCUGUUCGAGCGUCAUUUGUACCUUCAAGCUCUGCUUGGUGUUGGGUGUUUGUCUCGCCUCUGCGUGUAGACUCGCCUCAAAACAAUUGGCAGCCGGCGUAUUGAUUUCGGAGCGCAGUACAUCUCGCGCUUUGCACUCAUAACGACGACGUCCAAUAGUACAUUUUUACACUCUUGACCUCGGAUCAGGUAGGGAUACCCGCUGAACUUAAGCAUAUCAAUAAGCGGAGGA
rnacentral:misc_RNA from 1 species